rnacentral:rRNA from 1 species
UACGCAGGGACCGAGCGUUGUCCGGAUUCAUUGGGCGUAAAGAGCUCGUAGGCGGCUGCUCAAGUCGAAUGUGAAAACUCGAGGCUCAACCUCGAGCCUGCAUUCGAUACUGGGCGGCUAGAGUCUGGUAGGGGGAUCUGGAAUUCCUGGUGUAGCGGUGAAAUGCGCAGAUAUCAGGAGGAACACCGGUGGCGAAGGCGGGACUCUGGGCCGAUACUGACGCUGAGGAGCGAAAGCGUGGGGAGCGAACAGG